UACGGAGGGGGCAAGCGUUGUUCGGAAUUAUUGGGCGUAAAGAGUAUGUAGGCGGCUGGAUAAGUCAAGCGUGUAAGCCCACGGCUCAACCGUGGAAUUGCGUUUGAAACUAUUCAGCUUGAGCACAGGAGAGGAAGGCGGAAUUCCCAGUGUAGCGGUGAAAUGCAUUGAUAUUGGGAAGAACACCGGUGGCGAAGGCGGCUCACUGGCUCGAUACUGACGCUGAGGUGCGAAAGUGUGGGGAGCAAACAGG
rnacentral:rRNA from 1 species